rnacentral:rRNA from 1 species
UACGGGGGGGGCAAGCGUUGUUCGGAAUUACUGGGCGUAAAGGGCGCGUAGGUGGCCCGGUCAGUCCGUGGUGAAAGCGCGGGGCUCAACCCCGCGUCGGCCAUGGAUACUGCUGGGCUGGAGCACUGUAGAGGCAGGCGGAAUUCCGGGUGUAGCGGUGGAAUGCGUAGAUAUCUGGAGGAACACCGGUGGCGAAGGCGGCAUCCUGGACCGGCAUUGACGCUGAUGAGCGAAAGCCAGGGGAGCAAACGGG